CGCAGCCCCGCUGGGCGCCGCAGGCUUCAGAAAAAUUGGAAGUGGGGCCUCAGCAGGCACCUGCACCCCAGGCCACCGGGGUCAUCAGGUGCUGGGAUGACUCAUGCCGGCCCUGUCUCCUUUCAAAAGUUGCAAAGUGAGGACUUCCAGAGAACUUUGUCCCCGGACACUGGCCUCCCCCUUGGCAAUGGGCAGUGACUGUCCUGACCUCUGACCUCAGCUCUCUGGCCCUCCUGGACACAGCAGCCCCUUCCCAUCCCCUCGGAUCCAAGUUAAUUAGAAGCUAUCAGGAGGGGGCCACCUGCCCACUCAACCCUCACCCUGCUUCCUGUCCCACCCCCUUCCGUGGCUUUUCCACAGGGCUGGGCCCAGAGUCUCCUCUGCUCCCCAGCUCUCAGGAUGGGGUUCCCAGCAGCACAGGCCCUCGGGGGCCCCAGCCUUGGGCAGCAGGGCGUUCUCUCUGGCCAGCAUCCUGGGCCUUCACUGCUGGUGCUUCCACGACUUGUUUGGCUGAAGUGGUAGUGGUGGGUCUGUAGGCAGAGGACUGAGAGGAUCCAGAGAGAGGUGGGGGGCGGGUCAGCCUGCCAAGCCUGGAGACAAGUCUGCGAAGAGCAUCAGGUAGGAUAGUUCA
rnacentral:lncRNA from 1 species